rnacentral:sRNA from 1 species
UGGUUCCGAGUGACGAAUCGUCCGGCGC